CGCAUUUCUCCUCUUACUCUUGGGAACGCCCUACUCUGUCUAUAGAGUAGCUGUACUUUCACCACUUGACUUUCUUAAUAAACUUACUUUUGCUUUGCACUGCUGACUCGCCCUGAAUUCUUUCUUCUUGAGAUCCAAGAACCCUCUCUUGGGGUCUGGAUCAGGAUCCCUUUCCUGUAAUAUCUUUCUGGCAACCACUGAAGGGACUACAGUGAGGAAAUCCUUGACCCAAAGGCUAACUUUAGAAUCUCUCUCUGCUGCCCAGGCUGGAGUGCAGUGGGAUGAUCUCGGCUCAUUGAAACCUCCACCUCCAGGUUCAAGCGAUACUCCUGCCUCAGGCUCCCGAGUAGCUGGGACUACAAGUGUGCACCACGAUGCCCAGGGCCAUGGCCCGAGGUGUUGACAAAUACAUCCAUGAAUGCUCCAAGGCGAGGAGGGAUGAUUCGAAUAAAGUCCAAGCAUAUUCAGAGGAAAUCAGGACUGAGAGUCUUCAUGGCCAAUGCUCAAAUUUGAGGCUGAGGUAAUGAUUUUUAGGACACUCAGAAAAAAAAUGAAAUUAUGAGAAUUGUUUUCUCAAAUCCUUUUCUACUGCAACCUUCCCACCAUUACGAGCAUAAUGAAACUCAAAUGUGAGUCCAAGGAAUUAUUAUCUUCAUUUUUCUACUGAGGAGAACUAUCAAGACUUCUAAUCACAUGGAAUAACUCAUUCAGGAAAUGAGGCUGGGUUGCUGAUGAUGGAAUGAGGGAGUUGGAGGGAUUAGAAAUGACGUAUCCAGAAUAGACAAUGGAAUCGGUGACAGACUUCCACUAGUGGCAGCAACCUGUGCCUCACUCCUGCACAAAUCCAAAAGGGUUUUUGAGGCAUUUGAUGGCAUGUGCCUGUGAAACAAGUAGAUAUUCUGUCUUGGGAGCUUGAGAAAAGGCCAGUAGCACUGUUCUAGUAGCCUAAAGGCAAACACACAUUUAAAUAGUGGUGGGGUUAGUAGGCAUGGGAUGAUGAGUAAUGAGCAGCUCAGAAAUGGUCACUUUAAAGAUCAAAGGUCAUAUGCCCACAUUUUCUGAAAUCAUGCCAUUUGGAAUCAUCUUACAUCCCUAAGAAUAAAAAUGUUCCUACCAAAAUCAUUUAGAAGAAGUUUUCUCUGACAACUCACCCUGUUAAAGGUCAACAUGAGAUUUUAUCAUUUACAAAAAUAAAAACACAAUGUCCUCUGACUAUGAUUCUAAAUUAAUGCAAAUCCAGUACACAGGUGAACAGGUCAUUAUAAUACAGUGCGAGGAGUGCUAUGAGUCGCGACCCUGUGAGAUUAUACAGGAGUGUCAUUCAACCUUGUUCUUAAACAAUGGCAGGUAUCAGGUGCCAAUUUUUGAAAAUAAAUGUAUGCGUCUGUUCCAAAAUAGGGAAAAAUGAGUGCAAUUAUAUAGUGAAUUUUCAUAAAGCUAAGUGUACUAAAUUUAGAUGAGUUAUUCUGUGUUUAUGUCCUUCCUACUGUUUUAAAAUUAAAACAUUUCUUACUUUAUAGAAUUUGGGUAGCAUUCAUAUUGAGUCUUUUUUUUUGAAAAAGAAAAAACUCUUUCAAAUGAAAAUAAAUCAAUAUUAUUAUGCAUAAAUGUUCCAAAAAGACCCCUUGCAUCUUAUCUUUAUAAAAGGAAGCCAUGAAAGAAGCUUUAUUUUACUAAAAAAAAAACUGCAUGAGUGACAUGGAUUUAUAACAGUUACGUGAUUUGAAUAUUUAAUGUAUUGGGCUAAGAUAGGCGGAAAUGUCCAUUCCUGUCAGUAUUAACAUUUUACAGAUGUCACUGGUACUAAGGUUUUUCUGUUGUUGAAUCAGCAAACCUCAUCCCAUGGAUAAUGUUUAUAUAAGCACUGACAAGUUAUCACACUGUAAUUCUCAAAUCUAUAUAUCAUUUCUUUGGCUAACUAAACUUACCUUUUCUUUUGAUUGAAAUAUUUGUUCCUUAAAAUGUUAAUGUUGUAUGAUUAAAUCUU
rnacentral:lncRNA from 10 species